CCUCAUGAGCCUUACCGCUCCCCGUACUCUGCCUCCAGACUGCAGGCUGCAGCUGCUGCUAGAGCAGAUUCCCACCCCGGCGGAUCAGGCAGAGUAGAAAUAACGUUAACACAUUACGGUGAUGUCUUCAUGAGAAGCUAUGAAUAGCAAAAGAUCUUCACAAUGCUGAAAAAGAUCUCUGCAGUAGGUUCUGAUUUCCUGCUUGAUGCUAAGGCGCAAGACUGAGAAAAGAACUGAAAGACAGAACUAAAAAGACAGGGAAACCGAGGAGCCAGGACGACCGACACUGCUCAUCCAGCAAAGGUGCUGGUCUCUCCAAGCCACUGAUUUUUAUUAGUAAUCAAUUGGGGUAAAG